GCGGGUACUUCUUUCUCAAAUGAAGCUGCAAUCUCACGCUUCAUGUUAGCUUGAGCUCUCACAGUUGCUGAAACAAUAAGCAUGGUUCAAGAGCGGCUUUAUACAACCGUCCUGGUUUUCUCUUCCAUGACAUUGGUGAGCGCUUUAUUCGCACGCGGUGUUAGUAAGCGUAGGCCGGAUAUCAAAGAGUUUCUGUGCACAAGAGAACGUAUAUGGACUUACAAAACGAACACAAGCGAGUAUGUUCAAUGUAAAGUGGACCGAGUGACCAGUAUCAGUCAGACAUCCAUUAUCUUCAGGCGGUAUUACUUCCGUGAUGAGCAACAGUAAGCCACUGGACUAAAAAGAAACUCCAGGGAAUAUUUUCGGCGGAGCAAUGCGACGUAAUGCAAGUCCGAAACCUAGAUAAUAUUUUUCUCUCCAAGGAGAAAUUGCUUUACAUGACAAGAAAAUAUGGCUGCGCUGUAAUGAUGGUCACGCAAGCACAACAUGGUCGAGAGCCGUACUAUGAGUUGCGUGUUUGGGAAUCAUUCUUGAAGCAACGCCCUAAUGUGAAAUGUGUGAGAGAGUUUCAGAAGCAUACACAUAAGGGGAAAACUAUACGAACCGUUUUGCAACCACAUCCUUCUCAUUAGGUGAAUUGCACAAUACGCAUCUUAAAGCUGAGAACUGCCCUUUAAAUAAGUGUCAUCUCGCUUAUUGUGAAAAAAGGACACAUUGCAAUUUCAAUUCUUUCUCAAAUAACAAGUGGUGUUUUCCUAAAAAAUAAGCUAUAAUGCGCUUAGUACCGAUAUGCUUUUGCUCUUUAAAAAUAAUAUUACAUGCAUCAACACAAUAACAUUACAAGCCAUCACGUUGGCUUCAACACUACCAUGUUUUCAAGUAUUGCGUUUUCUUUUUUUAAUAAAACACAUACAGCAGCAUAAAUUCUUGCAAAGCUUCAGAACAACAUAAAAAUCCUUGGGAGAAAUAAAUACGGA